CCUACGGGAGGCAGCAGUGAGGAAUAUUGGUCAAUGGACGAGAGUCUGAACCAGCCAAGUAGCGUGAAGGAUGACUGCCCUAUGGGUUGUAAACUUCUUUUAUAUAGGAAUAAAAUGUUCCACGUGUGGGAUUUUGUAUGUACCAUAUGAAUAAGGAUCGGCUAACUCCGUGCCAGCAGCCGCGGUAAUACGGAGGAUCCGAGCGUUAUCCGGAUUUAUUGGGUUUAAAGGGAGCGUAGGUGGAUUGUUAAGUCAGUUGUGAAAGUUUGCGGCUCAACCGUAAAAUUGCAGUUGAAACUGGCAGUCUUGAGUACAGUAGAGGUGGGCGGAAUUCGUGGUGUAGCGGUGAAAUGCUUAGAUAUCACGAAGAACUCCGAUUGCGAAGGCAGUUCACUGGACUGCAACUGACACUGAGGCUCGAAAGUGUGGGUAUCAAACAGGAUUAGAUACCCGAGUAGUC
rnacentral:rRNA from 1 species